UAUAUAUAUAUAUAUAUAUAUAUAUAUAUAAGUUACGGAAAUUGCUUUCCGCAUAAUUGAUCGACGCCAGCAACAUCGUCAGCACAGCCGGCAACAGUAACCCAAACUGCGAACAAAGCUAAACUUCGUUUACCUCGCCGCGAUUGAAGCAAGUAGCUCGAUUAAUGCUUUGCAAGCAAAACCUCAGUACCUCGUGUGUGAGGCUCUGGGGGACUUUUCGAUCACAAUAAAAUCAGAACGUUUUGGACCGUCAAACUCAUCACUUUGGAGUAAUUAAUUAAAAGAAACCACCCUUGCAUAAUGGGACCUUUAUAACUGGCGCAGUCGAGUCUUCGCCGGAAGGUGGCUGUGCCCAGUGAUUGAAGUGGUCGUUCGCGAAAAUCUCGGUAGUGAGACCGAAAGUACAAGUUAAUGCGAAAAACACGGCAGUUGUUCAUUCAGCAGAAAUUCGUCACCAACGGCUCUGGAGAUCAGGAGUGAAGCAGCCAAGGAAAUUACCUGGUGAAGCAGCCACCGACCGAAGAAGAUGAACCAACGUUAUCCGCUGGAUACUUCGGCAAGAGGCGUGAUACCAUCGUGUGCACAUCGCGAAAAACUCAGAACCGAGUUCAGGAGCGCAGCACGACACGGAUUUCAACACCUUCGACGAGGGAGACAAAGGAACAGCGUUACCCGGAUUUUCAACAAGCAACAAAAUUUAAAGUGAAAAAAAUCUAAAUUCAAAAUUCAAAAAUAUUUUUCCAAAUUUGAUAAGUUAAGUGAGUGUGUGUGUGAGUAAAAACAAAAUCAGCAAUUCGGAAAUCAUUUAAAUAAUUCAACAUGAUCAGAUUAACUAAUUUGACAAAAGGAAAAAACACGAUUCAAAAUUUAUUUUUUAGAAGGUGUGUGAGUGAUAAAAAAACAAAGAAAACCAUUUCAAAAUUAUGCAGCAAAAAAAAUUCAGUUAAUCGAGUGUGUUUGAAAUUGUUGUGAGGAAACAUUACAAUGAAAUAAUAGUUUGUUUGUAAUAGCUAAUUACAAAUCUCAAUUUGUAAUUCAGAGUUACAAAAGUGUAAUAAAUGAAGAUGUAAUUAAAGAUUACGUAAUCUUUGAUUACAAAUAUUUGUAACACUUAAUUACAAAACAGCAACAACUAUAAUGUUUCAAACAUCACCGAAUAAGCUUGAGAUAUUUCAAACUCGCUGAGUGACCUGUUUGGUAGUUCUUUCCGAUGGAAAAUUUAUGUGCAGUCGAUACGGAUCGGGACGAUCCUUUCUUGGUGAGGGAGCAGUUACGGAAAUUGUAAAGUAAGUAAAUCUUUCCCAGUUCCUGAGGGGAACACCCGUGAAGAGUAUCGGGGCCGGCAUUUACAAAGCGGAUUCAGUGGCAGUUUUUCACUCAACUAAUGUUAACAUGUUUAGGUUAAUGUUAACAUUCCAUAGGUCGCCUCCCUAAGGUGUCGUGAUAAGGUCCAGUUUGUGACGAUACACUACCUUCCCUUUACUAAGCAAUCGAAUCCAGAAGGGAAAAGAUCACCAGUUGUGUUGGUCCGAGCCGGGAUUUUAACCCCGAUCUACCGCUUACGAGGCGGAAGCGUUACCACUAGGCUACGUGGCUCGGUUACGGAAAUUGCUUUCCGCAUAAUUGAUCGACGCCACCAACAUCGUCAGCACAGCCGGCAACAGUAACCCAAACUGCGAACAAAGCUAAACUUCGUUUACCUCGCCGCGAUUGAAGCAAGUAGCUCAAUUAAUGCUUUGCAAGCAAAACCUCAGUACCUCGUGUGUGAGGCUCUGGGGGACUUUUCGAUCACAAUAAAAUCAGAACGUUUUGGACCGUCAAACUCA